rnacentral:rRNA from 1 species
UACGAGGGGGGCUAGCGUUGCUCGGAAUCACUGGGCGUAAAGCGCACGUAGGCGGAUCUUUAAGUCAGAGGUGAAAUCCCAAGGCUCAACCUUGGAACUGCCUUUGAUACUGGGGAUCUCGAGUCCGGAAGAGGUGAGUGGAACUGCGAGUGUAGAGGUGAAAUUCGUAGAUAUUCGCAAGAACACCAGUGGCGAAGGCGGCUCACUGGUCCGGUACUGACGCUGUGGUGCGAAAGCGUGGGGAGCAAACAGG